AGUUACAGGAGGUCAUCCUAAUCCGAGACACAUUCCCCCGCCGUCUGAGGAACAGGCGCUGGGGUAUCAGAACAUAGGAUUCAAUCCUCUCAUCUCACACCAGAGAUUGGAUGCAAUUGUAAGAUAAGACACAGAAGUCAGACAGGAAUGAAAAAUCAUCGUCUCUGUUGGAAAGUGCAGUUUGGACCAAUAGCCACGGGGCUGUUAAAGUAAAUAACCCUUGAAAUGGCCAAAUUUCCCCACCAACCUCACGUUCAUCUCUGAACCUCUGGAUGGAGAGAACAGAGCAGGACACCACCAACCUGAUCUGAAGAUGGAGAACUCAGAAGAGGCAGAGGUUGUCUUGCCCAUAUUUCCUUAUCUCGAAUGAACCAAUUAUACAAAUAUCCCCAUAAAACCCUCAUUCUUUGGGGAGAAGAGAGUGAGAGAAGCUGAGAGAGUCUUCCCAUAUUUUUCUGUCCAGAGGAGUGUGUGGAAAUUCCAUCCCCUCUAGGAAAACCUAAAGAGUUAGGAGUAAAUGAUGCCCUCUGGCACAGCCUCUAUACUUCAUUUGAUUAAUUCGAAAUGCCUUCCCGUCUCCUAGGACUCAAAGGAGAAACAAAGUCUUUUAAAUGCCUCAUCCCGACGACCACGCCACGUUACCAUGUGGUUACCUAGGGCCGACGUGCUAGUGCACAACCUGUGCCAUGUUCGGACCCUGCCCUUAGGGUAUUGGGAUCUGGUGGGGAGAAAUAGCAAAGACCUCAAGAUGAAGGACUGAAUGUAUAUGACAGCUUGUAGGUGCAUUAAUAAUGAUGCACUAAAGAAGAAAUAGCAAGCUAGUAGAAAGCCCUGAAUUUGGAUCUGAUCUGAUUCAAAUGCCUUAUUUUCUAAGGCAAGAGACCUUCAAAUGAAAGGCCCAGUACUGUCCUGUUGCACAUGAACAAUGAGACGCUAAAUCCACAGCUGUGUAAACAUGGAUCCCAUUGCACACUCCGGGUACCCACCCAAGGUGUAGCUUCUCUGCCUGCUGUAGGGUGAGGGCAUGGGGACUGCCAAGCCUGGAACUUAGGGGAGCUCAGAGGACCUGCUGCUGUAUAAUCUCACUUCGUCAGGACUCCAGAAAAUACAGGCAGUCAGCAAAGCAGGUUGUCAGUCCUUGUGCUCUGAAUUACAGCCAACUGACCCGAAGGAAUCCUGA